CCGCCGGCUCCGACAGCGACAGGGAUGAUCGUCGACGAUAUGUACAAGUUCUCGGCUCCAUGCUUCUUCGACUUCAUAAAGGACGAGAGCGAAGACGAUAGACGCAAGGCCGAGCUCUGGUUCAAUUGCGCUCUCACUUGUGCUCUUUCACGUAAACAAGAAGCUAAAGCACAUUCAAAGGAAUUUUUGACCUAUUGUGGUUGAGAUGCCAAUUUUGUUUCCCAAUACUUAUCUUUCACGUUAACUGACUUGGUAAAGAAAAGGUCCGUUAGAGCAAGGGAUGUAAGCAAGGUCCUAUGUCAAGAUCUGAGUAAACACUACAGCAGGGCAAGUGAAAUAUAAACACCACAUGUGAGAAAAAAGAAGGAAAUUCUGAACUGCCGAUGAGUGAAGAAGAAACUUCUACUGCUGAUUAGUGUUGAACUGCCCAUUGUCCAAACUAUUCUAAGUACCGUUCUAAACCUCACCCUUGGACAACUAUUUUCUUAUCUAUUGUAAAUAGAGUUAUAACUUAUAAAUAGAUUUUCACAUGUAUGUAAAUAGUAUUGUCUAUUGUUAUAUAUUUAAAACUUUUAACAUGUUUUAUACAGUUUUAAAAUCUGUAGCAUCGCGCCGGCAUAUUUGCUAGUAUACACUAUUUUUUUAGAAUGAUAAAUAGACACCUUUUUUUAUGUU